GCAGUCAUCGAAAGCUGUUGUCUGAUUCGACUUCUUUACAGUUGAUUAGAAGCGUGUUGAGACUUGAGAGAAAGAGACGCCAUUGUUCUGAUUGUUGGAGUUUUGAAGUUAGGUGGGUUCCUUGGCAGAGAUGUCUUUCUAUUUAUGCUCUGAAGAGUUGUCUAUGACGAAUCUUGAAGCUUUAAGAUUUGGGUACCAUUCUGUCAACCACGCUGUCCACCACGCUGUCUUCACAUGAAGCUGAGUAACAUUGAACAUUACAAUGUUUUUACUGGCCCCCUUUUAAAAUAUGGAACUUUAGCCAUCCUAUUGUGUGGGCUGCAUGGAACUCAUUUACCUUUGCUGUGAACGUCGGUAACAUGUACACUAAUUGAAGGACAGUAAUGUGACUAUCUUAUUCAGUUUACUAAAGUGUAGUAAAAGUUGAAUUGUAGAAAUUAAAAUCUUCCAAUAAUUAUGAAUGUGCUAAUAAUAAUUGUUUCUUGUAUUCUUUUUAGGUAUAAGACGCACAACAUUUAGAAUGAUGGAGUACCAAUGUUGAAGCAAGAACAGGAAACAGAAUCUGGAAUAAUUGGGUUAAGACCACCAUCUUCACUCACAAAUACUGAUUCAUUGUAAGAUCUAUGGCGAAGGAACUGACAGCCCGGAAGAAAUUGACGGUGGUGGAUUGGUGUGAAGAAACUAUUGCCGUGGAGUACCCUAAGAUAUGGUACUACUCGAGCAGCCCCUUCAAUUCGAACAGUUGAUUAGAGUUCUAGUUACGACGAAAUCUGAAAAGGCCUUUUAUCAAGAGCAACCAAUUGAGUCAGGUGGCUCCCACAACAUAGUUGAAAAAUGAACAUGAAGGCAACAGCCAAUCCUAUCUGGAAUUUUGCUAGAGAUACCUUUCAGACGGUCGUCAACGUUGAGGAAAAAGAAGAAUCUUAACCCAAAUUAGAGCCAGAAGAACCAUAUACUGCUGGUAUACCAACAGCCAACGGAACUUACUCCACACGCUCCAAGACUAGCAUUAUUGUGGCUUUCCAUUGUUGACUUACGAAUAAUGGUUCUGGCGGAGCCAUCAAGGAAGAAAGCAGUGGUACUUCCACCAAAUCAAAAUGUUCUUUCAAACCGACGUCAGGUAAUAGCAUCAGGUAAUCAUCUCAAGUGGAACACAAACCCAAAUCUUGCAGGGGACACUGACUGUAAUCAAUUGAUUGAUCCGGCAAAUGGCGGUUCUUUGCAUUAUUUCCAUCCGACUACGUGUCCAGUCGUUUCAACUGAAGAAUUUUUGCAGCGGAUGGUGGAAUAUAUGCGUAGAAUCUGGUUACAAAGUAUGAGGUCUGGAAGAAGAAAAGGUCGAAACAGAACCCACUGAAGAAGAAGAAAUGAACUGAGCUUUUCUCGGUUGGCCUGUGACGUUUCCCCUGACAAAACUUCUUUGAUUCUUCUCUAUGCCCACCUCUGCUUGGAUCUUGACGUCCAGCUAGAAGAUGCCGUUCGACUCCUUCAGCAAGUUGAAACGCUGCACGAUCAUCGACUAAUGGAAAAAUGCAUUCAGAAAUUAAACCAGAAAAAGUCUCUAGUCACAAAAAAAGUUAAAUUAUCAUCUUUCCUGCAAAUGUACGAUUAAUUAAUUAAACUUUGGUUUGCUCGUCAGAAGGUUAUUCACCUUCGAUCAUCAUCCGUUAAAUACGCGGUGGGACUUGUUAUGAUAUACCAACAUAGCGCUUGUAAGUCACCGUUACUGUGUGUAACCGACUCAUUGACACACCAUGAUCCAGACAAAAUAUUUUGUAACGUCCUUUUCGACGAUGGGGGAUUCUUCCUUCGUUGAUGAAGACAAGCGUAAUGAAUUUCGAAUCGCCGACUUCCUACUCAACUUAUUUUUAUUUAUUUUUUACAGAUAAUUUAAAAUUCGACACUGAUGUGUCGUUCGUCAGCAGCUAUCCGAAUAUCGGGCUUUCUUUUGAACGUUUCAACGGCCGCCGAUACAUCUCCAACGCUAAGAUGACCCUCUUCCCAGAGGAUGAAGGCUUUGCUCUUUCCCUGGUCGGAUAAAUAUGUAUUAUCUUAUCGUAUUAUGUAAUUGCCUGCCUUUUACGUACAUUAGCUGCUAAAUAGUGCCAAAUAGUUUCAUCAAAUUUUACGAGAAAUCAAAAAAUUAUUUAGGCCAUUCAGGUUGUUUUUCUUAAUUCAACCAAUGUACAACUUGUAUGUAAAUCAGGUUCUUGUUUCACUUUUUCAUUCAUCAUUUUGUAGCUUAAAUCCUGUGUUAUUUUGCAAACAAUUUUAACUUUCAAUUCACUUAGAAAUUCCAGACAGAACUCCCUCUAACCUCUGGGUAUCAAUCUGGGUCACCUCUAACCCCAAUUAAGAAGUAAAGGCUAGACUAUGAGAUAUUAUCAGUCCCCUGUGUUAGUUAGGUAGGUAAGGAAGGAAUCCAACAUAGAAGACUUUAAAACAUGAAGAAAAAUCUAAAAGA